AGAGUUUGAUCCUGGCUCAGAGCGAACGCUGGCGGCAUGCCUAACACAUGCAAGUCGCACGGUUCGGGGGUUUCGGCUCUCGGGCAGUGGCGGACGGGUGAGGAACGCGUAGGGAUCUAUCCAUGGGUGGGGGACAACCGCGGGAAACUGCGGCUAAUACCGCAUGACGAAUAUGCCUUGGCGGGCAUGUUCCAAAGCUUGCAAGAGCGCCUGUGGCGGAGCCUGCGUCCGAUUAGCUUGUUGGUGGGGUAACGGCUUACCAAGGCAACGAUCGGUAGCUGGUCUGAGAGGAUGAUCAGCCACACUGGGACUGAGACACGGCCCAGACUCCUACGGGAGGCAGCAGUGGGGAAUAUUGGACAAUGGGCGCAAGCCUGAUCCAGCAAUGCCGCGUGGGUGAAGAAGGUCUUCGGAUUGUAAAGCCCUUUCGGCGGGGACGAUGAUGACGGUACCCGCAGAAGAAGCCCCGGCUAACUUCGUGCCAGCAGCCGCGGUAAUACGAAGGGGGCUAGCGUUGCUCGGAAUGACUGGGCGUAAAGGGCGCGUAGGCGGAUCGGAUAGUCAGGCGUGAAAUUCCUGGGCUCAACCUGGGGGCUGCGCUUGAUACGUCUGGUCUGGAGUGGGGAAGAGGGUCGUGGAAUUCCCAGUGUAGAGGUGAAAUUCGUAGAUAUUGGGAAGAACACCGGUGGCGAAGGCGGCGACCUGGUCCUUGACUGACGCUGAGGCGCGAAAGCGUGGGGAGCAAACAGGAUUAGAUACCCCUGUAGUCC
rnacentral:rRNA from 1 species